CCUUUCUAUACAUAAACACUACUAAUGGUAACGUUUUUAGCCCUUGUUGUGAUUGGAGUUCUCCCUUUCUAUGAAUAAACAUAACUAAUGGUAACGUUUUUCUCUUUCGUUGUGAUUGGAGUUCUCCCUUUCUAUAAAUGAACACAACUCAUGGUAACGUUUUUCGCUUUCGUUGUUGUCCAAGCUAUAUACAAACACAACUCAUGAUAACGUUUUUCGCUUUCGUUGUUGUCCAAGCUAUAUACAAACACAACUCAUGGUAACGUUUUUCGCUUUCGUUGUUGUCCAAGCUAUACACAAACACAACUCAUGGUAACGUUUUUCGCCCUUGUUGUGGCUGGAGAGGAGUGACUUCAGCAAUGCGUUCCAGCGAGGGAUAAAAGAAAUGCUCACGAGAUGGCAGCACUUUCGUCACGCUCCCUUAUCGCUUACUCCUUGAUCGUGACACCGUGAAACUUCUACCUACCUCGUAAAUUCCUACCGGUGCGAGUGUCUACUUGAGUGUCUCCCUUUCUAUAUAUAAACAACACUAAUGGUAAUGUUUUAAGCCUUCGUUGUGGUUCAGGUUCUCCCUUUCUAUAUGUAAACAAAACAAACUAAAUUCAAAACUGUUUACCUCUUUUGUUGUCUUCCAAGAUCUCCCUUUCUACGCAAUACAAUGGAUGUUUCUAAAUCGUGUAUCGCCUUUGUUGUGUUCAGAGUUCUCCCUCACCACGAGACAACAAAUGUUACCAACUCAAAUGCCAACACCAGCUUCUUAACUUUCUCUUUAGUCUCCCAUUUUCUCUUUUAUUUCUAUUUUUUUUCUUCUCGUUCUUUAUAUUUUCACAGCCUCCGUUUCCUUCUUUUCUACGUUAUGCAUUAUUAUCUUUUCUAUUUCCUCGUCUCCUUUUCUCCUUUUGAGUUUCUUUCCAUUUUUUUUCUAAUCACAUAUAUUCUCUCUUUAUCAAUCUUCUCCGUUUUCCCUUCCUCUCUUCACUCUUCCCUAUUAUCUUGGUCUCCUUUUUCCCCUUUUUUCCCCAACUCAAUUAUCUCUUUACUUCUCUUAUGAUUCUUUUAAUUCCCACACUUUUCUUCCCUUUCUUCAUUAUCUUAGUUUUUUUUCCAUUCUAUUCUCUGUUCCUCUUCUCAGUCUCCCUUUCUCCCUUUGCUUCUCCCUUUAUUAUAGCGUCCUCUGUUUUAUCAUCCACUUAUUACUUUUAUUUUUUUCCCUUUGUUCUUUUUUUUCCUGGCAAUGACCUGAGGAUGAGUUGUAUCUGGCCCUGUGGAGAGGAGGAGGAGGAGGAGGAGGAGAGGGGUCAAGUAGAUUACAGAAAUCCCGUCGGCUUUUAACGAGGAGAAGGAGGAGGAAGAAGAGGAAGGAAAAGGAGAAAAGAAUAGCUCCUCAUCUUCCAAUAGACGAAGAUAGAUGGACAGAGAGAGAAAGAGGAAGAUAGAAAGAGACACAGACUUCAUCAUUAUCGUGUUUAUUUUUAAGUUAUGUCUAUUUCCUCUUUAUUAGAAACACUUGGGCACUCAGACACACCAGAGGAGGAGGAGGAGGAGGAGGAAGGGAGGAGGAGGGCGCACUCACUAGCACUACUUCCCUCUCCUCCUCUUCCCUUUCCUUUCCUCCCUAUCUUCCUUAAGUAAACCAAAGGAAGAAGGUGAAGGAAGAAGGGGAAAGGAGGAGGAGGAGGAGGAGGGAGAGGAGUGACUUCAGCAAUACGUUCCAGCGAGUGAUAAAAGAAAUGCUCUCGAGAUGGCAGCACUUUCGUCAAGCUCCCCUAUCGCUUACUCCUUGAUCGUGACACCGUGAAACUUGAACCUGCCGCGUAAAUUUCUACCGGCAUGAGUUUCUACCUGAGUAAGUGAUUUCUACCUGUAUAAUCAGCGUGGAAUUCGUACAUCUCAUUAGUAAGAGUGUGAAGUUUCUACCUCUCUAAUUUUCAUAGCAAAAGCGUGAUUAUUUUCGCGUUGUCACUGGUAACAUCUCAGUGACUAUGAAUCAGAUUUUAGAGUACUAUUAACGGAAGAAAAUAUGGCUGUAAUUGAAGCUGUUGUUUUUGCUAGGUAGGUGAAACUCAGUUUGAAGAGAACGUAUCCAAGCGUUCAAUUGUUAAGUGUUGGCGGAAUGAAAAAUAAAAUGUAGUUGAAGUAUCAUUAACGGAAAAAACGGUUGUAAUUGAAGUUUUUGUUUUUUUGCUAUGUAGGUGAAAGUCAGUUUAAAGAGAACGUAUCCUAGAAUUCAAUUGUAAAGUAUUGGCGGAAUGAAAAAUAACAUGUAGUUGAAGUAUUAUUAACGGGAAAAACAUGGUUGUAAUUGAAGUUUUUGUUUUUUGCUAUGUACGUGAAAGUCAGUUUGAAGAGAUCGUAUCCAAGCAUUCAAUCGUUAAGUGUUGGCGGAAUGAAAAAUAAAAUGUAGUUGAAGUAUCAUCAACGGAAAAAACAUGGUUGUAAUUGAAGUUUUUGUUUUUUUCCUAGGUAGGUGAAAGUAAGCUUGAAGAGAUCGUAUCCAACCAAGCAUUCAAUUUGUUAUGUGUUGGUGGGAUGAUAAUUAAAAUGUGGAUUAAAUGUUUACUUUCAUAUGUCGGUGAAAAUUAGUCCGAGGAACGUCUGAACGCAACCAACCAUAACGUGCUACAGGAAACGGAAGGAAACGCGUCUAAACUUUGCCCUUCAAGAAAUCACGUGACUAAGUGCCGCAUUCUAAACAUAUCGGAGCCCAAGAACACUUUUGACAAGGCUUUCACAGGAGUUUGGGGCAUUUCCAGUGGUAGUUUUAUGACCCUGGUGGUAGUUUAAUUAUUCUUUUGUGCCGCGAACCUACAAAAAACACUAAUUAUAACGCGAUUGAUCUCCUUUUCGGCCUUUGGGAAUAGUUGAUGUGAGGGGUGGAGGCGUCUGGCAACACCGACCUCAGUGUUGCCAUAUCCUGAGCUCCGUUUUCUGUUUACGUCGCUGGAACGAAUUAUGCCAAGGAGUGGAGGAGGAGGUGGUGGUGGUAGUGGAUCUGAGUGCCCGGUGGUGUUGGCAGGUGGAGUGUAGCAGUAAUAGUAGUAGUAGUAGUAGUAGUAGUAGUAGUUAGGAGGCGUGCAAGGGGGCGGUGGUAGGGGGCGGCGGUGGUGGUGGUGGGUUUCUCUCUCUCUCUCUCUCUCUCUCUCUCUCUCUCAACCGGAGGAGGCAGAUUUAUAGGUCUUGACAAGGGAAGGAGGAGGAGGAGGAGGAGGAGAAGGAAAGAGGGAGGAAGGAAGGACGAGGGGGAAGGAGGGGAAAGGACGAAGGGAAACACACACACACACACACACACACACACACACACACACACACACACACACACACACACACACACACACCACCUUACCAAAACACCAAACCCCGAACAAAAAUACCAAAACCACCAACCGCCAGACCUUCCUCGCACGAAAGUAGAGAGGAAGAAAGAAGGAGGAGGAGUUGGAGGUAUUCAGGAGUAGGAGGAGGAGGAGGAGGAGGAGGAGGAGGAGAUUGAAUUAACGAAAGAAACACUACCUCACUGCAUUAUCAAAUCAACUGAGGAGGCAAGCGUUCUGUCACGGCAUGCAGGCUUAGCGGGCAACCAAGAUAGCAUGCAUAGGCCGGGCAGCAGACACACAGCGACAGACACAAGCAAUGGAUCGAGAGAGGAGAAGGGGGCGGGGGCGGCGGCGGCGGGCGUAAGGAAAGGGGGGGGGGGAGUGGAGGGUCGCGAAGGUUGCAAGAUGAAGACACAGGGGAGGGGGGUUGUGGGUUGGGGGGUGCUGUUGCCUGCCCUGCAAACCUAGUGGGGUGUGCGCGGUGUGGGGUGAAGGACGCUGAGGGAGAGCGAGGUGCAGUGUGGGGGAAACAUCGAACACCUUUUCUGAGCCUGCAUUUGGGGGUGUGGGGUGUGGGGUGAUAGCAUUGCCUAGAGCUAGCGAGCGAUGGGGUGAGGGGAGAUGGGGAGAAGAAGGAGGGAGAGGAGAGGAAGGAGGGAGAGUGUGCGAGCGAGCGUCAUGAGCAAAGACUUGGGGGGAGAGAAAAGACGAAGAGGGGUGAAGAAAGGGGAGAAGACGGGGGUAUAGUUGGGGGUGAUUUGAACCUGACCUGAUGGGGGUGGGGGCGGGUGGGGGAGGCGACGCGUGGAGAUGGAGGUGGAGGAGGUUGUGGAGGAGUUCUUGAAUCCGAAACUGAGAUCGUCUUUGCUAACGUCUAAAUAAUGCUAUACUGACCCCCUUAAUAUUUUUGGAGGGGGGCGGGGGGGCGGGGGGUGAUGGUGGUAAUGGUGAGAAUAGUGGUGAUGGUAGUGAUGUGGUGGUAGUGGUGAUGUGGUGGUGAUGCUAGCUGGUUUUUGGGUGGUGUUGAUGGUGGUGAUGAUGGUGGUGGUGAUACUAGCUGUUUUUUGAGUGGUGGUGAUGGUGGUGGUGAUGGUGAUAGUGGUGAUGAUGGUGAUGAUGAUGAUGAUGAUGAAAAAAAAAACCUCGUGAUUCUAGUGACAAUAUAAAUAACAAUGACAAUAUGAAGAUAAUGAAAGUGAAUACGAUAACUCAACUGAUAAAGAUAGUGAAGAUGAUGAUAAUGAUUUAACUAACAGGGAGCACAUACAUCCGGGGGCGCGUCGCUUCACUCACUCGCCAAUGACUUAAAACAAUGAAAAAAAAAAUGAUGAUAGGAUGCUUACAAGAACUAAACUAACGAAGAUGAUGAUGAUGAUGAUGGGGGAGCAUACAUCCGGGGGUGCGUCGCUACACUCACUCGCCAAUGACUUAGACAAUGAAAAUGAAAAUGGUGACAGAAGGCUAAAUGAAAAUUAAGAUAAUAAUGAAGAUGAAAAUAAUGAUAAAGAUGAUGAUGAUGAGGGAGCAUACAUCCGGGGGCGCGUCGCUACACUCACUCGCCAAUGACUUCGACAAUGAAAAUGAAAAUUGUGAUAGAAAGCUCAAUGAAGAUGAAGAUAAUGAUGAAGAUGAAAAUAAUGAUAAAGAUGAUGAUGAUGAUGAUGGGGGAGCAUACAUCCGGGGGCGCGUCGCUACACUCACUCGCCAAUGACUUCGACAAUGAAAAUGAAAAUGGUAACAGAAGGCUAAAUGAAGAUAAUGAUAAAGAUGAUGAUAGACAAUGAAAGUGAAAAUAAAUGAAAGUGAAAACGGAGAAUGCUGGAAUGAUACAAUGCUGGCGAGAACUAAACUAACGAUGAUGAUGGUGAUGAUGAGGGUGGUGGUGAUGGUGGUGGAGGUUUGAAGAGCAGACAACUAGCCAGGUGGGAUGGUAAUUAGCCUUAGUAAAUUACAGGUAGGCAGUGGGGUUACCGCCUCGGCCGGCUCUCAUCCCGUAAUAAUAAUAAUAAUAAUAAUAAUAAUAAUAAUAAUAAUAAUAAUAAUGGGAAUAAGUAAUGAUAAGAAUAAUGAAUAAAUAACUAGAAUGGUAAUAAUUAUAGUGGUAGUGGUAGUAGUGGUUAUAGUAGUAGUAGUAGUGGUAGUAGUAGUUGUAGUAGUAGUAGUAGUAGUAACAUUUAAGAACCGGGGAAAUUAUAAUGAGCUAAAAAAUAAUAAUUACUUACAACAUUCAAUAUAUAAUAACAGUAAUAAAUAAUAAUAGUAAUAAUCCAUUCAUAUAUAUAAUGAUAACAAUAAUAUCGUUGAAAAAAAAAAUCUUAUGAAAAAUUGACGUUCGCAUAUGAAGGAAAAAAUAUGAAAAAAAUGAAAAAAAGAAAAAUAUUGAUGUAGCCGACUAUGAGAAAAGCGAGAAAAAAAUAGUUAUGGAGAAAAAAAAUGAAAAAUGGGAAAAAACGGGAGAUUAAGAACAAAAAUAAAGAAAAAAAUUAAAAAAAAGUAAAAUAUAUAUACAUAAAAAAACAAAAAACAAAAUCGAUGCAUGUCAAUACUUAUUAUGUCCUUCGUUACAACACACACACAGACAGACAGACAGACAUUCAAAAAUAAGCAAAAAAAAAUAAAAUAAAAUAAAAAAAAUCGAAAAAACAAAAUCCAAAAAAAUUAGAUGAAAAAAUAAUACAAAAAUAAAUAAUAAAUAAAUAAACUAGAUAAAUAGGCGUGUAUAUAAAUGUUGAAUAUAUAUAUGAAUGUUGGAGGCAAGACAAUUAAUUAUACAGCACAAAGAGAGAUUAUAUACAAAUUACAUCAUUAGGGAAAGACACAUCAAAUAAUAAUAAUAGUAAUAAUAAUAAUAGCAGUAAUAAUUAAUAAUGGGUCAUAAUUAUUAAUGCUGGUUAUAUAUAAAAGGUUGUAAAUAGUAAAUAGUACACGUUUAUAAUUAGAGAAAUCGAGGACAAACAAACAAACAAACAGGUAUUAAACAGGUGUGAGUCAGGUGUUUGUGGGUUACUGUUUUUUUUUGUGUGUGUUAAUUAGACGUACACAAACACACACAUACACAGACACAUACGUACAUGAAGAAACAAACACACACACAUACACACACGUUAGAACACAUACAUACACAAACACACACAUACAGUUAAAACAAUCACACACACAUACAUGAUAUUUACGUACACAAACACACAUACACACACAACACAACACAAAAAAAGAGUAGGUGGAAAACUGUUUUGUGGGGGUUAGAAGUUUUACAUAAUAUUAUAUCAAGUUAGGAAACACAAAAAAAUAUAUAAAUAAUUACACGAUAUAUAUAUUAAAAAAAGGAGGAGGAAAGAAAGAGGGAGUGUUUGGGGGAGGGGAAUAGGAUAGAGAAUAAUAAAAAGAGGAAUAAGAGAGGAACAAGACAACAAUAAUAAUAAUAAUAAAAAUGAUUAAUGCAAUAAUGACAACAAUAACAAUAACAACAAUAAUAAUGAUGAAUGGCCUGAAAAAGAGAGAAUUAACAAGAUAAAAGAAAAUAUAAAAGAAUAAGAAAAAAAUUAUAAGAAUUACAAACUUGACAUAUGUAAUAAUCAUAAUUUUUAAAGGUCACCGAGAGAGAUAUUUAGAUAAUUAAGUGAAAGGAGGCAAUAAGAGGCAGUAGUAAUGAAGUCAUAACAAACAACACUACAGUAAUAAUAAUAAUAAUAAUAAUAAUAAUAAUAAUAAUAAUAAUAAUAAUAAUGAUCAUAAGUUUCUGAGCUAAUAAAAUACUUCAGUUAUGCUUCCUCUCAGUGAGUUAGAGAAAAAAAAAGGAAAAAAAUAUGAAAAGAAAUAGACGAGGGAAAAGAAGAGAAAAAGAAAGGACAAAGAAAAAGGAAAAUACGAGAAAACAGAAAAAGAAGAGAAAAAGGAUAAAUGAGGAAAGAAGAGAAAAGGAAAAAAGGAGAAAGAGAAGGGAAAAAGGAAAAAAAGGAAAAGAAAAAAAAAAGAAAGAGAGGAAGCCUAUUUUAACAUGCAUGCCUGCCAAAGAGGAAGAGGAAAAAGAGGAAGAGAGGAAGAAGAGGAGGAGGAAGAGGAAGGAAGACUGGGAGUAAAGGUUCAUAAAGUUUUUCCCUCUUUCUUCCUCUUCCUCUUCCUUAACCCCCAUUUCCUCCUCCUCCUCCUCCUCCUCCUCCUCCUCCUAAACCAUGCUAACAAGCUUUUUAUUUUAAUUAACUAUCUAAUAAAAACUCAAUUAUUCUCUACAACAAACUAACAAUAAUAAUAAUAAUAAUAAUAAUAAUAAUAAUAAUAAUAAUAAUAAUAAUAAUAAUGUUACUCUAAAUACUGAAAAAAGUAAAAAUAAAUAAAUAAAUAAAUAAAAAACUAUGUGUGUGUAUCUUAAAAUCUCUCUAAAUUCAUGUACACCUUUCAAACCUAGUCUUACGUACACAGGAAAGCCUUAUGUACGUUUAUGUGCACCAAAUAGUGAAGCUGUGUGCGUAUCUUAACUGACAUGUACGUAUACACUGUAAGGCAAAAGUACACAUAGAAAUAUACAUACAUGGGAAUACACAUAGGGAGGGGAGGAGGAGGAGGAGGAGGGGGAGGGGAAGAAGAGAGGGGUUGGGAUGGAAGAGGAAGAGAUGGGAUUGAGGAGGAGGGGAAGGAGGAAGAGGAGGAGGAAGAGGGGGAGGAGGAGGAGAGGGAUGGGGAUGGAAGAGGAAGAGAUGAGGAGGAGGAGGAGGAGGAGGAGGAGGAAGAGAGGAGGUUUGGAGAGAGAGAGAGAGAGAGAGAGAGAGAGAGAGAGAGAGAGAGAGAGAGAGAGAGAGAGAGAGAGAGAGAGAGAGAGAGAGAGA